AGAAUCAACGCUGGCGGCGUGCCUAACACAUGCAAGUCGCACGAGAAAGGGGACUUCGGUCCCUGGAGUACAGUGGCGCACGGGUGAGUAACACGUGAAUAAUCUACCUCCGAGUGGGGAAUAACUGAGAGAAAUCUUAGCUAAUACCGCAUAACACUUACGAGUCGAAAGCAGCAAUGCGCUUGGAGAGGAGUUCGCGGCAGAUUAGUUAGUUGGCGGGUAAUGGCCCACCAAGACGAUGAUCUGUA
rnacentral:rRNA from 1 species